UACAGAGGGUGCGAGCGUUAAUCGGAAUUACUGGGCGUAAAGGGCGCGUAGGCGGUUAUUUAAGUUGGAUGUGAAAUCCCUGGGCUUAACCUAGGAACUGCAACCAAUACUGGAUAGCUAGAGUGCGGUAGAGGGUAGUGGAAUUUCCGGUGUAGCGGUGAAAUGCGUAGAUAUCGUAAGGAAGACCAGUGGCGAAGGCGGGUCUCUGGACCUCUUCUGACGCUGAGGCGCGAAAGCUAGGGGAGCAAACGGG
rnacentral:rRNA from 1 species